rnacentral:rRNA from 1 species
CCUACGGGAGGCAGCAGUAGGGAAUAUUGGGCAAUGGACGCAAGUCUGACCCAGCCAUGCCGCGUGCAGGAAGAAGGCGUUAUGCGUUGUAAACUGCUUUUAUACAGGAAGAAACGACUCUUGCGAGAGGCAUUGACGGUACUGUAUGAAUAAGCACCGGCUAACUCCGUGCCAGCAGCCGCGGUAAUACGGAGGGUGCAAGCGUUGUCCGGAUUUAUUGGGUUUAAAGGGUGCGCAGGUGGUUUAUUAAGUCAGUGGUGAAAGACGGUCGCUCAACGAUUGCAGUGCCAUUGAAACUGGUAGACUUGAGUAAAGUAGAGGUGGGCGGAAUUGAUAGUGUAGCGGUGAAAUGCAUAGAUAUUAUCAAGAACUCCAAUUGCGAAGGCAGCUCACUUGGCUUUUACUGACACUCAUGCACGAAAGUGUGGGUAUCAAACAGGAUUAGAUACCCUGGUAGUCCACACUGUAAACGAUGAUAACUAGGUGUCGGCCGAAUCUGGUCGGUGCCACAGCGAAAGCGUUAAGUUAUCCACCUGGGGAGUACGCCGGCAAACGGUGAAAACUCAAAAUGAAAUUGACGG